GUGUGUGUGUGGGUCGAUGUUCGACCAGGAGAGAAGGGAAAAGGGGUAAAACCCUAGAUCACCAAAAUCCAUCAAAUUGAAGGAGGAUUGAAGGGCUAAUCGAGUGCAUGAACCAGGAAUGUCGAUCAUUUAAGUGUUUCUACCAUCAUGAACGUGUCAAGGAGAGCUCAAGCAUAGGAGGAUAACGGGUCAAGAUAAGGCAAGGUGACAAAUACACUUAUUGGAGUACUCAAGGUUAUGAAUGUCGGACUUUCGAAGUGUUGAUAUAAUAAUGAAACGGUU
rnacentral:lncRNA from 1 species